GUGAGGAAUAUUGGUCAAUGGGCGAGAGCCUGAACCAGCCAAGUCGCGUGAAGGAAGAAGGAUCUAUGGUUCGUAAACUUCUUUUGCAGGGGAAUAAAGUGCAGGACGUGUUCUGUUUUGUAUGUACCCUGAGAAUAAGGAUCGGCUAACUCCGUGCCAGCAGCCGCGGUAAUACGGAGGAUCCGAGCGUUAUCCGGAUUUAUUGGGUUUAAAGGGUGCGUAGGUGGUUUGAUAAGUCAGCGGUGAAAGUUUGCAGCUUAACUGUAAAAAUGCCGUUGAAACUGUCGGACUUGAGUGUAAAUGAGGUAGGCGGAAUGCGUGGUGUAGCGGUGAAAUGCAUAGAUAUCACGCAGAACUCCGAUUGCGAAGGCAGCUUACUAAGCUACAACUGACACUGAAGCACGAAAGCGUGGGGAUCAAACAGGAUUAGAUACCCGUGUAGUCC
rnacentral:rRNA from 1 species